CGGGGCAUGGCGCAGUCUGGUAGCGCACUUGCAUGGGGUGCAAGGGGUCGCAGGUUCAAAUCCUGCUGUCCCGACCA
rnacentral:tRNA from 1 species